GUUGGUUUCAAUGUUGUGGCUGAUUAGUGUAUCUCUACCAAUCAUUGUCAUGUCACAAACUGACCACUAGAUGGCUCCAUACAUCCAUUUUACAGUAAAAUGACACUUCAGUCUCUAAACAAGUGGUUCCCAGCAAUUUUCCGAUCAAGGUAUGCUUCGGUAAGGGAAAAAUUUCCAAGGCAACUUAAUGUCCUUUUUAUCUUCAUCUACGACUUACAAACUUCUCAUUUACUUAAAACCUUACCGGGUGGCCUACCGGGUGUAAGGGCUUACCUUGGUUGGAGUCCAUAGUGCAGAGAUGUAACCAGAUAAAAAGCCACCUGGGCUGUGAAUCUGUACACAGGGGCUUGGCAGGAACAAUAACCGGGUACGAGCAAACAGACAAGGGCAAAUCCAGGAGAGUAGUCAGGCAAGGUUUCAAAGGUCAUGAUCUUACCUGAUGUAGAGUCCGGUAUGCAGAGAUAUGUGCUCACCCUUGCAAAUAGACACAGGCCAAGGUGGUCAGGUAAGAAUUCACCUGGCCUGUGACUCUGUGCACGGGGCUGUGCAGGUCACAGUACAGGCAAGGACACAAGCAGGAGAAUUGUCGAGGGUAAGCCAAAAGUCAGAGGGUACCAGAAGUCAGGACACACGAUAAG